GACGAACGCUGGCGGCGUGCUUAACACAUGCAAGUCGAACGGAAAGGCCCUUCGGGGUACUCGAGUGGCGAACGGGUGAGUAACACGUGGGUGAUCUGCCCUGCACUUUGGGAUAAGCCCGGGAAACUGGGUCUAAUACCGAAUAGGACCACGCGCUUCAUGGUGUGUGGUGGAAAGCUUUUGCGGUGUGGGAUGGGCCCGCGGCCUAUCAGCUUGUUGGUGGGGUAAUGGCCUACCAAGGCGACGACGGGUAGCCGGCCUGAGAGGGUGACCGGCCACACUGGGACUGAGAUACGGCCCAGACUCCUACGGGAGGCAGCAGUGGGGAAUAUUGCACAAUGGGCGCAAGCCUGAUGCAGCGACGCCGCGUGAGGGAUGACGGCCUUCGGGUUGUAAACCUCUUUCAAUAGGGACGAAGCGUGAGUGACGGUACCUAUAGAAGAAGCACCGGCCAACUACGUGCCAGCAGCCGCGGUAAUACGUAGGGUGCGAGCGUUGUCCGGAAUUACUGGGCGUAAAGAGCUCGUAGGUGGUUUGUCGCGUUGUUCGUGAAAACUCACAGCUUAACUGUGGGCGUGCGGGCGAUACGGGCAGACUAGAGUACUGCAGGGGAGACUGGAAUUCCUGGUGUAGCGGUGGAAUGCGCAGAUAUCAGGAGGAACACCGGUGGCGAAGGCGGGUCUCUGGGCAGUAACUGACGCUGAGGAGCGAAAGCGUGGGGAGCGAACAGGAUUAGAUACCCUGGUAGUCCACGCCGUAAACGGUGGGUACUAGGUGUGGGUUCCUUCCUUGGGAUCCGUGCCGUAGCUAACGCAUUAAGUACCCCGCCUGGGGAGUACGGCCGCAAGGCUAAAACUCAAAGGAAUUGACGGGGGCCCGCACAAGCGGCGGAGCAUGUGGAUUAAUUCGAUGCAACGCGAAGAACCUUACCUGGGUUUGACAUGCACAGGACGCCGGCAGAGAUGUCGGUUCCCUUGUGGCCUGUGUGCAGGUGGUGCAUGGCUGUCGUCAGCUCGUGUCGUGAGAUGUUGGGUUAAGUCCCGCAACGAGCGCAACCCUUGUCCUAUGUUGCCAGCGGGUUAUGCCGGGGACUCGUAGGAGACUGCCGGGGUCAACUCGGAGGAAGGUGGGGAUGACGUCAAGUCAUCAUGCCCCUUAUGUCCAGGGCUUCACACAUGCUACAAUGGCCGGUACAAAGGGCUGCGAUGCCGUGAGGUGGAGCGAAUCCUUUCAAAGCCGGUCUCAGUUCGGAUCGGGGUCUGCAACUCGACCCCGUGAAGUCGGAGUCGCUAGUAAUCGCAGAUCAGCAACGCUGCGGUGAAUACGUUCCCGGGCCU
rnacentral:rRNA from 1 species